rnacentral:lncRNA from 1 species
ACUUAUUUACAUGAAGAGGGACUUUGUGCAACUAUCAUAUUUGCUUGUGGAAAUAUCAAUCUCCUCUAAGAAACUAUUUAAACUCUUUAGUCGUUGGUUUCUCAAUCAAACUCUGACGUCGAAGAAAGACUUUGAGGAGCAGGGACUAGGGUAGGGAUAGAUUGCCCAUAUUAGGUUAAAGGUUGGUCCUAAACAUUUUUUAUUCUGACAAGUACCCUACACUUUUUGAUUUGACAAAAAGCCCCUGAGAAGUUCUAGAGUUUAGGCAACUUGAGCGGAAAUUGUUUUUUUUUUCAAUGUGUGCUACUUAAAAGGUUUAUUCGAUGUUUUAAUUCGAG